CAUAGUCGACACGCAAUGGGUGACGAGGAUUGUCUUCGUCUGAAAAGGGAAGUCCGGUGAAAAUCCGGCACGGUCGCGCCACUGUAAAGAAGAGUGCUUUUUCAAUACCACUGUUCGAAUGAAUGGGAAGGGAAAGAGUACGUUGAAUCUGAGUCAGGAGACCUGCCUAUUGUAUGCGCUUAAA
rnacentral:ncRNA from 2 species